UACGAAGGGGGCUAGCGUUGCUCGGAAUCACUGGGCGUAAAGGGCGCGUAGGCGGGUGCUCAAGUCCGUGGUGAAAUCCUCCGGCUCAACCGGAGAACUGCCAUGGAUACUGGGUGUCUCGAGGGUGAUAGGGGUAUGCGGAACUAUCGGUGGAGCGGUGAAAUGCGUUGAUAUCGAUAGGAACUCCGGUGGCGAAGGCGGCAUACUGGAUCACAUCUGACGCUGAGGCGCGAAAGCCAGGGGAGCAAACGGG
rnacentral:rRNA from 1 species